AACGAGCGAGAGAGAGCUUGCUUUCUCAAGCGAGUGGCGAACGGGUGAGUAACGCGUGAGGAACCUGCCUCAAAGAGGGGGACAACAGUUGGAAACGACUGCUAAUACCGCAUAAGCCCACGGGUCGGCAUCGACCAGAGGGAAAAGGAGCAAUCCGCUUUGAGAUGGCCUCGCGUCCGAUUAGCUAGUUGGUGAGGUAACGGCCCACCAAGGCAACGAUCGGUAGCCGGACUGAGAGGUUGAACGGCCACAUUGGGACUGAGACACGGCCCAGACUCCUACGGGAGGCAGCAGUGGGGAAUAUUGCACAAUGGGGGAAACCCUGAUGCAGCGACGCCGCGUGGAGGAAGAAGGUCUUCGGAUUGUAAACUCCUGUUGUUGAGGAAGAUAAUGACGGUACUCAACAAGGAAGUGACGGCUAACUACGUGCCAGCAGCCGCGGUAAAACGUAGGUCACAAGCGUUGUCCGGAAUUACUGGGUGUAAAGGGAGCGCAGGCGGGAAGACAAGUUGGAAGUGAAAUCUAUGGGCUCAACCCAUAAACUGCUUUCAAAACUGUUUUUCUUGAGUAGUGCAGAGGUAGGCGGAAUUCCCGGUGUAGCGGUGGAAUGCGUAGAUAUCGGGAGGAACACCAGUGGCGAGGCGGCCUACUGGGCACCAACUGACGCUGAGGCUCGAAAGUGUGGGUAGCAAACAGG
rnacentral:rRNA from 1 species